CUAGGAGUAAGUGGCGUUUUAUAAGAUGAAGAAGCUUCAGAUGAUGGGAUUCAGAAACUAGACAUGCACCGACAAGACAAGAUCUUGAAAGCUUCUUCAGACAAAAAUAUUAUACUGCGAAGCUCGACCCUCAAGGAAAUGGGUUGGCUUUCUUGGUGCCUCUGUCGAAUGCAUCCAUAAACAAAAUGAAGGGAGCUGAGGUGCGUGGAAAGUUGCUAUUAAUUUGGUUUUAUCUUCAAGAUUCUCCGAGCUGUCACUUCUCUCUUGGUCUGGUUGCUGAUCCACGCUCACGUUGCUAGCCACUCACUCGCCCCCCACCGCCAGCCUACAGGGUAAAAGCAGGGUUUGGAUGAAGGCAAGCUUAUGAGAAAAAGAGGUGGGGGCACCUUUUUUUACCCUAAAAAAGCCACAGAUUUGCCACUUGUAGAGCUCUGGUGGAUGGCUGUGUGCGUGUUCAAGAGAGAAUGUGGCCAGCAAUAAGGCCAAAACUGCCAGAUUGCAUGGAUUUUUCUUUUACCAUUUCUUUUAUCUCUCACUCAACGUCUUCCUCUUCGUCUCUCCACUGGGUGUUAUCCUCGUUGACAUCAACAAUCGGUCCUUCCUGUAGCAAAUCAUUAACAACUAUUUCUGUGUAGGUUUGAUUUGUGUUUAUAAUUUGAGUACUACUAUCUCCAUUUGAACAGGCCUUUCGAAGAAACUCAAAGCAAAUCAUGAAAGCUUAUGCUUAAAGUGGAUAAUAUCAUACCAUUGUGAAGCGUCUGAUUAUCUCUGACAAUCCAU